rnacentral:tRNA from 1 species
AUUUUGUUAAUUUAAUUGAAAAUGUUGACUUGUGGAGUUAAAUUUGACUUUGUCACAGAAUA